rnacentral:rRNA from 1 species
UAAGAAUAUUCCGCAAUGGACGAAAGUCUGACGGAGCGACGCCGCGUGGAUGAAGAAGGCCGUGAGGUUGUAAAAUCCUUUUGCUGAUGAAGAAUAAGUAUGGUAGGGAAUGACCGUAUGAUGACAUUAGUCGGUGAAUAAGCCCCGGCUAAUUACGUGCCAGCAGCCGCGGUAACACGUAAGGGGCAAGCGUUGUUCGGAAUUAUUGGGCGUAAAGGGCAUGUAGGCGGUUUCGUAAGCCUGGUGUGAAAGGCUGCAGCUUAACUGUAGCAUUGCAUUGGGUACUGCGAGACUUGAAUCACGGAGGGGAAACUAGAAUUCCAGGUGUAGGGGUGGAAUCUGUAGAUAUCUGGAAGAAUACUGAUGGCGAAGGCGGGUUUCUGGCCGAUGAUUGACGCUGAGGUGCGAAAGUGCGGGGAGCAAAC